UACGUAGGGUGCGAGCGUUAAUCGGAAUUACUGGGCGUAAAGCGUGCGCAGGCGGUUUUGUAAGCCAGGUGUGAAAUCCCCGGGCUCAACCUGGAAUGGCAUUUGGGACUGCAAGGCUGGAGUGCGGCAGAGGAGACUGGAAUUCCUGGUGUAGCAGUGAAAUGCGUAGAUAUCAGGAGGAACACCGAUGGCGAAGGCAGGUCUCUGGGCUGACACUGACGCUCAUGCACGAAAGCGUGGGGAGCAAACAGG
rnacentral:rRNA from 1 species